rnacentral:rRNA from 1 species
AUUGAACGCUGGCGGCAUGCUUUACACAUGCAAGUCGAACGGCAGCACGGGCUUCGGCCUGGUGACGAGUGGCGAACGGGUGAGUAAUAUAUCGGAACGUACCCAGAAGUGGGGGAUAACGUAGCGAAAGUUACGCUAAUACCGCAUACGAUCUAUGGAUGAAAGCAGGGGACCGCAAGGCCUUGUGCUCCUGGAGCGGCCGAUAUCUGAUUAGCUAGUUGGUGAGGUAAAGGCUCACCAAGGCGACGAUCAGUAGCUGGUCUGAGAGGACGACCAGCCACACUGGAACUGAGACACGGUCCAGACUCCUACGGGAGGCAGCAGUGGGGAAUUUUGGACAAUGGGCGCAAGCCUGAUCCAGCAAUGCCGCGUGAGUGAAGAAGGCCUUCGGGUUGUAAAGCUCUUUUGUCAGGGAAGAAACGGUAGAGGCUAAUAUCCUUUGCUAAUGACGGUACCUGAAGAAUAAGCACCGGCUAACUACGUG